CCUAUAAAUCUCGCCCAAACAGGAAAGCAAACCUGAAAAUACACUAUCCUCCAGCUAUCAGAAUUAUAUUGAGAUCUACUCACAUUUAUGAUGAUGUUCAGAGAUUCAUCAUUGGGAAGGAAAAUGCACACGCUGCGGCGGUCUUGCAUGACUCUGUUGUGGAAAUUCAAUUUGUUCAUUGUGUUUUGGGCUCUCUGGGUGGUCAGGGCUGGGCUCUGGGUCCUUGGCAAUUCCUCAGGUUCCCAGCACUCCAAAGCCAAGCUCACCUCCUCAUCACACGCCCUGCAGGAGAAGCAUCAGGGUGUCCGACUACGUGGGUUUCAUAGCUGUGGAAAAGCCAAAGGGGAGACUCCUGAAGAAAGGCGGUGAAGACUGUGAAGAGCGGGUCAGGAAGAUGAGCACAGCACUGCUACUCCUGUGGGCACAGGGACAGCAUGUCUCCAGCCAGCGCCACCUUGUUUAAUACAUGGGAACUCACUGAAAUUCAUUCUGUAUUUUGCCCACAAAGUUUUAAAGCUUUCAUCCACAGUCAGGAAUUAAACUUAUACCAAUGAGAGCCUCACACAUUCAAGGAUGUACUAAGCACUACAGGCCUCACAGAAACAGAGAUCCCAUCUUGGAGUUUUCAGUCCCACAUGGGAGAUAAAGGGUUUUGAACAUGAAAUGACAAAAACAACAGCAAGAAGAAAAUUCUCGUCCUUUUUCAUUACUAUCAAACUCAAAUAAAUGUCUUGGCUCUUACAUUACAUUCAUUCUUCAACCAUUGUGGUCUGGCUUCCACUUCCUUCACUUCACCAACAUGGCUCUGCCAAAGGAAGCCUGUGAUCUCUAGGCCAUCACUUUAAUUGAUCUCUCUACAACAUUUAUCCUGGUCGUUAAGCCCUCCUUACAACAUUCUUCUCUC
rnacentral:lncRNA from 1 species